GUGCAUGUGGCGCAGCAGUAGAUAAAAAUGAUUUUUGUAUCAGAUUGAUUUAUAUGAAAAUAUUUUAUGUUUUACAUCGAAUAACGUGCAAAAUUUUUCCCUUCUAACCCACUGUUUUUACGAAAGAUAUUUUCCAUUUUGGAGAACGCUUUUUUAUGCUGCGCACUGUCAUGGGGUGUCAGGGGUCGGAGGUUCAAAUCCUCUCGUGCCGACCA
rnacentral:tRNA from 1 species